GUGACCCAAAAUAGUAAAAUGGUUUCUGGAUGAUAACUCAAGAACGCUUAUGCCUAGGAUCAUGAAACUUGAUAGGAAGAUUGAUCAUGACUCGCAGUUGACCCCUAUUGAUUUUCAGGACACUAUAUCAAAGGUCAAAGUCACGGUGACCUGAAAUAGUAAAAUGGUUUCCGGAUGAUAACUCAAGAACGCUAAUGGCUACGAUCAUGAAACUUCAUAGGUACAUUGAUCAUGACUUGCAGAUGUCCCCUAUUGAUUCUGAGGACACUAGGUCAAAGGUCAAGGUCAUGGUGACCCGAAAUAGUAAAAUGGUUUCCGGAUGAUAACUCAAGAACGCUUAUGCCUAGGGUCAUGAAACUUCAUAGGUACAUUGAUCAUGACUCGCAGAUGACCCCUAUCGAUUUUGAGGUCACUAGGUCAAAGGUCAAGUUCACGGUGACCCGAAAUAGUAAAAUGGUUUCCGGAUGAUUACUGAAAAACGCUUAUUCCUAGGAUCAUGAAACUUGAUAGGUAGAUUGAUCAUGACUCGCAGUUGACCCCUAUCGAUUUUGAGGUCACUAGGUCGAAGGUCAAGGUCAUGGUGACCCGAAAUAGUAAAAUGGUUUCCGGAUGAUAACUCAAGAAUGCUUAUGGCUAGGAUCAUGAAACUUCAUAGGUACAUUGAUCAUGACUGGCAGAUGAACCCUAUUGAUUUUCAGGUCACUAGGUCAAAGGUCAAGGUCACAGUGACAAAAAACAUGUUCACACAAUUGUUAUCACUACAACGGAGAGCCCAUAUGGGGGGCAUGCAUGUUUUACAAACAGCCCUUGUUUCUUUAAUUUAGACAGAUAAUUCUAAUUUGCUCUUGUACAUGUGUAUGAGGGAUCCGGAUCCGAAAAAAACUGUAUGAAACCAUCAGGGAUUUCAAUAGAUUUUAAAAACCAGGAGUCAAUGACCCCUGGACUGAAAUUUUGAGGAGUCAAAUUGAAAAAUGGUGUGGUCAAUUUUGAAGCGCGUUAAUUGUGUUUUUGUCUGUAUUAUUCAAUUUUUUAGAUAAAAAUAUGCUCUAAGAGUAACACAAUAUCAUAAAAAGUUAUACUGCUUUAUUAAAUAACAAUACCAUGAUACAUAACACAACAUAUUUUAAUGAAUUGGUAUAUUAAAUAUACUUCCUUAUAACACAUUUAAGUCUUUUAACACAUUUAAAUAAUUUAAUAUAUGUACCGGUAGCACCUUUUCAUCACAUAUUUAUCGGCAUUAUAUUAUCAUCAUCCCUAUGAUAGCUUUUCUAACAAAACACAAUCUAAAUUGCAUGGAACAUCUAGUAUAUCUAUUACUGUUUAUUCGAAUACUAUACAUGUCCGAAAUAUGUACACUUUGGAAUGCCUUACCUGUAGUAGUUUUACUUUAAUAAUCCAAAUUUUUCUUGUUGUUAUCGGGUUUAACAAACCUUAUCAAAUGUUUGUUAAAUCCAGUUAAUGCUUUCUCCAUUAUUGAAUUGCCAUUAAUUAUUCCAACAUGACACUCUGGAAGUAAAUAUCUUAACUAAUACAGUCGGUCGGGUAGUUCCGGAUCACUAACGUAAAUAAUGGUGUAAAUAUUUUUAAAAUAAAGCAAUUGCUUUCAAAAAACUUGGAUUGUUGAGGCAAAAUAUUUCAUCUUUCAGGCCAUAUUAAUUUAUUAAUACUUAUCAAUACAUUUCUGAUGCCAAUUUGAACUUAUUCGCUUGCAUAAAGUCGGCUAGUUCUGAAUCGAGUGCGGUAAUUUCGGAUCACUCGGACUAUUUGGAAGAUGUAGGUCAGGGAUCAUCUCAAAACUUAUUUUGACUGUCAACAAUUAUUUUGACUGUCAAAACAAAUGAUGCAUGUAUUAAAUAAAACAUCAGAUAGGUUCGUUUGUUUCAGUUUAAUAACUGUCUGACAAUUUAAAAACAUUAUGGGGUGUAUGACUGUACACAGGAGAAUAAAGCUGUUGGAAAGUAUUUAUGUUUUGAUUUGAAAUGGAUUCCUCUGUAUUAUUGGUUAUAUAAAACAAGCACAAAUACUCAAUACAAGCAAUUUAUUGAUAAACUCAAGAUACCUUCUU